UCGAUUAGAGUUUGAUCCUGGCUCAGAACGAACGCUGGCGGCGUGCUUAACACAUGCAAGUCGAGCGCGAAAGUUACUCUUCGGAGUGGCGAGUAGAGCGGCAGACGGGUGAGUAACACGUGAAUAAUCUACCCCUUGGCGGGGAAUAACCAUUCGAAAGGAUGGCUAAUACCAUGGCUAAUACCGCAUAAGACCAUAUGCCUGCGGGUGUAUGGUGAAAGGCUUUCGGGCCACCGAGGGAGGAGUUCGCGGACGAUUAGCUAGUUGGUGGGGUAAAGGCUCACCAAGGCAACGAUCGUUAGCUGGUCUUAGAGGAUGAGCAGCCACACUGGUACUUAGAUACGGACCAGACUCCUACGGGAGGCAGCAGUGGGGAAUAUUGCGCAAUGGACGAAAGUCUGACGCAGCAACGCCGCGUGGGUGAAGAAGGCCUUAGGGUCGUAAAGCUCUGUCAGGUGGGAAGAACCUUGCCUUUAUGGCAACUGACGGUACCACCAAAGGAAGCACCGGCUAACUCCGUGCCAGCAGCCGCGGUAAUACGGAGGGUUACGGAGGGUGCAAGCGUUGUUCGGAAUUACUGGGCGUAAAGGGCGCGUAGGCGGCCUGUCAAGUCUGAUGUGAAAGUCCGGGGCUCAACCCCGGAAGUGCAUUGGAAACUGGCAGGCUUGAGUUCGGGAGGGGAGGGCAGAAUUCCCGGUGUAGGGGUGAAAUCCGUAGAUAUCGGGAGGAAAAUCAGUGGCGAAGGCGGCCCUCUGGAACGAAACUGACGCUGAGGUACGAAAGCGUGGGUAGCAAACAGGAUUAGAUACCCUGGUAGUCCACGCCGUAAACGAUGGGCACUAAGUGUCGGGGGUAUUGACCCCUGCGGUGCCGCAGCUAACGCAUUAAGUGCCCCGCCUGGGAAGUACGGCCGCAAGGUUAAAACUCAAAGGAAUUGACGGGGGCCCGCACAAGCGGUGGAGCAUGUGGUUCAAUUCGACGCAACGCGAAGAACCUUACCUGGGCUAGACAACGGCGGACAGCCCUAGAAAUAGGGUCUUCCCUUCGGGGACUGCCGGUUCAGGUGCUGCAUGGCUGUCGUCAGCUCGUGCCGUGAGGUGUUGGGUUAAGUCCCGCAACGAGCGCAACGCCUGUCUCUAGUUGCUACCAUUUAGUUGAGCACUCUAGAGAGACUGCCCGUGUUAAACGGGAGGAAGGUGGGGACGACGUCAAGUCCUCAUGGCCCUUAUGUCCAGGGCUACACACGUGCUACAAUGGGCGGUACAAUGGGCUGCCAACCCGCGAGGGGGAGCCAAUCCCAAAAAGCCGCUCUCAGUUCGGAUUGGAGUCUGCAACUCGACUCCAUGAAGGCGGAAUCGCUAGUAAUCGCGGAUCAGCAUGCCGCGGUGAAUACGUUCCCGGGCCUUGUACACACCGCCCGUCACACCAUGGGAGCCAGCUGUACCGGAAGUCGGUGAUUCAACCCGCAAGGGAGAUAGCCGCCCAUGGUAUGGCUGGUGACUGGGGUGAAGUCGUAACAAGGUAGCCGUAGGGGAACCUGCGGCUGGAUCACCUCCUUA
rnacentral:rRNA from 1 species